AGAACGAACGCUGGCGGCAUGCCUAAUACAUGCAAGUCGAACGAACACUUCGGUGUUAGUGGCGCACGGGUGCGUAACGCGUGGGAAUCUGCCCUUGGGUUCGGAAUAACAGUUGGAAACGACUGCUAAUACCGGAUGAUAUCGAAAGAUCAAAGAUUUAUCGCCCAGGGAUGAGCCCGCGUAGGAUUAGCUAGCUGGUGAGGUAAAGGCUCACCAAGGCGACGAUCCUUAGCUGGUCUGAGAGGAUGAUCAGCCACACUGGGACUGAGACACGGCCCAGACUCCUACGGGAGCAGCAGUAGGGAAUAGUGGACAAGUGGGCGCAAGCCUGAUCCAGCAAU
rnacentral:rRNA from 1 species